CCUACGGGGUGCAGCAGUGAGGAAUAUUGGUCAAUGGUCGGGAGACUGAACCAGCCAAGCCGCGUGAGGGAGGAAGGUACAGAGUAUCGUAAACCUCUUUUGUCAGGGAACAAAGGCGGGGACGUGUCCCCGGAUGAGUGUACCUGAAGAAAAAGCAUCGGCUAACUCCGUGCCAGCAGCCGCGGUAAUACGGAGGAUGCGAGCGUUAUCCGGAUUUAUGGGGUUAAAAGGGUGCGCAGGCGGUCUGUUAAGUCAGCGGUCAAAGCCCGGGGCUCAACCCCGGCCCGCCGUUGAAACUGACAGUCUCGAGUUGGAGAGAAGUAUGCGGAAUGCGCGGUGUAGCGGUGAAAUGCAUAGAUAUCGCGCAGAACUCCGAUUGCGAAGGCAGCAUGCCGGCUCCACACUGACGCUGAGGCACGAAAGCGUGGGUAUCGAACAGGAUUAGAUACCCUGGUAGUC
rnacentral:rRNA from 1 species